CAGCGAAGUUUUAACCAAAGCUGCAGGCAUAAUUAAACAUACUCCAGAAGAUGCAGUUAAAAGAGCUGCCUCAGGUCUCGGCCACCCUCCAACCUUCAGAGCCCUGGCCCCCGCUCACUGUUAUCGCUAUAGUCUAACAAUAGACUAAGCAACUAACAAAACAGAUUCACGCUUUCCCGUGUACUUUGAUAAUCAUUCUCGAUUGUUUGUCCCAUUAAUAGAAAGGACAAAACGACAAGAACUUUGAGAGCGGGAAAACUGGGGCUUAAACUAUGCUAGGCCAGGCCAGGUUGCCAGAGUACUACAAAUCUGGACACUCAGUUCAUCUGAAACAUCACCAAAUUUGACUGGCACCUCUUCCAGGAAGACACACUUUUGUGCACUCCACUCUACUCAUCAAAAGACUUUCUGUGGAUUCUGACGCCUGAGCACUGGCCUUAGCCUACCUGGGGGCAAACGUUCUGAGGAGCAGGAGCUGCCAGCCUUGGUCGUUACUGUAUCCUGAAGACUAGCACAGCGUCUGGCAUGUGACCAACUCUCACCAAACAUUAGCUGCGUCUAUGUGGGAAUCAAGUACUGGGAGGUGAUACAGAGCCCAUUAUAUUGUAUUGCUAGGGCAGCACUUAGAAAGUACCACAAACUGAACAGCUUAAACCACGGAAACUGUGGUGUCAUGGUUCUGGGGGCUGUGUCUAAAUUCAAAGUCUCUAGAAAGGGCCUCUUUCCCACUGGGUAUACUGAAUAAAGCACCCACUGAAAUUA